rnacentral:misc_RNA from 1 species
UUGACUUAUUGUAUAUGUUACUCAGAGAGGCCACUGAUGACGAAGAGUUUCGGUCCUCUGACGGGUUUGCCAGGCCCCUGAAGAGGGGCCGGCGCGGCCUGGGUUGCCCCGGGUCACCCGCCGAAGCAACGGUGAGGUAGGUUCACAAUGGUUGGGAGUUUUGCAACUCUGUAAUGAUCCCUCCGCUGGUUCACCAACGGAGA